rnacentral:rRNA from 1 species
UACGUAGGGUGCGAGCGUUGUCCGGAAUUAUUGGGCGUAAAGCGCGUGUAGGCGGCUUUGCAAGUCGGGUGUGAAAGCCCUCAGCUUAACUGAGGAAGUGCGCCCGAAACUGCAUUGCUUGAGUACCGGAGAGGGUGGCGGAAUUCCCCAAGUAGAGGUGAAAUUCGUAGAUAUGGGGGAGGAACACCGGUGGCGAAGGCGGCGUCCUGGACCAACACUGACACUGAUGAGCGAAAGCCAGGGGAGCAAACGGG